UCUGGGGUAGCUCAGUUAGUAGAACAUGAAAUUCUUAAUCUCGGGGUUGUGGGUUCAAGUCCUACAUUGGGCAGAA